rnacentral:miRNA from 1 species
GCAUCAUGGGCGUGACAUCACUG